AGGUGUUGCUUGGCUUCCAUCUUCUACAAAACAGCUGUGAUCUCACCUUCGAAAUGAAUCUAAAGUGCUUUUUUUUUUCUUUUUACCGCAGGUCCAAUCUAUGCCCAUAGGAUGUUUGACAGCUGUGUAUAAGUCACAAAUUGGAUAAACUUGUAAAGUGUAAUUAUGCCUCCUUACAAUACACGGCGAGCGUAGCGGCCUGGAUUUUGGAGAAUUGGGUGCCGUUGUUAAAAGCCUCACAGGCACCAGGAGCAAACAACAAUUAAGGUGAAGAAAACAAGACAGGCUUGGUCUGUCGUCCUCAGUUGUGAAAAGAAGAGAGGAAAAAAAAAAGGAAAAACCCUGAAAAAAAAAAAAGAGCCACCUACCUCCACGGUUUGUCUUGUGAAUACAGAUGGCAAAUUAGCUGCUGUAAUGACCGAUGUCGUGCAUGGUCUGUGAUAAAUAAGCAUAUUCAUCUGAUUCCCCCCUGCUUUGCACCCCAUUAUACAGUGUC